UCAGACAUUGACAUCAUUUGGUAACAACACUUACAGCUCUGCAAGCUGGAGAAAUCGUAAAGUUUCCAAAGGUUUAAAAGUCAAAGCAUGGAGUUCAGACCAUUGUUGCUGAUCCUGCUUCUUCACAUUUCAGGCUCUCUAACAUUAGAUGAACUCUUUGUGACUUGUGAAAACAUUUGUGCUCUGAGGGAAACCAGUGUGCAGUUGAAGUGCACCUACAACAACAUCCCAUUUCAAUCUGUGUUUUGGUUCAGCUGGAAACAAAGUCCAAACUGGAGGAAAAACAAUGAACCUGAAGAUUUAGAUUUAGAUUUAGACUACUCAGGACGAGUAAAGCAAAGCUUUAACAAUGACUGUUCAACACUCUUAAUAUCAGAUGUGAGUGAGCGAGACUCUGGGGAAUAUCAGCUCAUGUUUAUCAUGAAGGAUGGAGUUAAACGUCUCGCCUCAGUCGCUGUUAAUUUAACAGUAACAGAUUUGCAGGUAAAGAUGAGUCCUGCAUCUACAGACACCAGAGGUCAGGCAGUAAAUCUGACCUGUGAUACUUCAUGUGAUUUGACAUCCGAGCCAAAAAAUUACCUCUGGAAAAAAAAUGGAAAAUAUAUAAAAGAUCAUCAUGCUAGAAACAUCACUGUGCCUUCAACAGAAAUGGACGGCAGUUACUCCUGUUCUCUUACUGUAGACCUUAAACAUUCCUCUUCUCCUGUUUGUAAGUAUGAAGCAGUUCAGCUUGCUUUGCUUUGGUUUUUGCUCGACUUAGCUUGCAUUUUCACUGAAGU